rnacentral:rRNA from 1 species
UACGUAGGGGGCUAGCGUUGUCCGGAUUUAUUGGGCGUAAAGAGCGUGUAGGCGGCCAGGUAGGUCUGCUGUGAAAACUCGAGGCUCAACCUCGAGACGUCGGCGGAAACCAUCUGGCUAGAGUCCGGAAGAGGAGAGUGGAAUUCCUGGUGUAGCGGUGAAAUGCGCAGAUAUCAGGAAGAACACCCGUGGCGAAGGCGGCUCUCUGGGACGUACUGACGCUGAGACGCGAAAGCGUGGGGAGCGAACAGG